GACAGAGGUGCCAAGCGUUAGGCGGAAUCACUGGGCUUAAAGCGUGUGUAGGUGGAUUUGUAAGUACCUUGUGAAAUCCCAUGGCUCAACCAUGGAACUGCUCGGUAUACUGCGAAUCUUGAGCCACUUAGGGGCUACCGGAACAAAUGGUGGAGCGGUGAAAUGCGUAGAUAUCAUUUGGAACGCCGAUGGUGAAAACAGGUAGCUGGGAGUGUGCUGACACUGAGACACGAAAGCCAGGGGAGCGAACGGG
rnacentral:rRNA from 1 species